rnacentral:rRNA from 1 species
GGAGUUAGCCGGUGCUUCUUCUGCGAGUAACGUCACAGAUGUAAGGUAUUAACUUACACCCUUUCCUCCUCGCUGAAAGUGCUUUACAACCCGAAGGCCUUCUUCACACACGCGGCAUGGCUGCAUCAGGGUUUCCCCCAUUGUGCAAUAUUCCCCACUGCUGCCUCCCGUAGGAGUCUGGGCCGUGUCUCAGUCCCAGUGUGGCUGAUCAUACUCUCAGACCAGCUAGGGAUCGUCGCCUAGGUGAGCCUUUACCUCACCUACUAGCUAAUCCCACCUGGGCUUAUCCAUCAGCGCAAGGCCCGAAGGUCCCCUGCUUUCCCCCGUAGGGCGUAUGCGGUAUUAGCAGUCGUUUCCAACUGUUAUCCCCCACAAAUGGGCAAAUUCCCAGGCAUUACUCACCCGUCCGCCGCUCGUCAUCUUCAAAGCAAGCUUUUGAAAUGUUACCGCUCGACUUGCAUGUGUUAGGCCUGCCGCCAGCGUUCAAUCUGAGCCAGGAUCAAACUCUGA